CUUAGCUCAGUUGGUAGAGCAGAAGACUGUGGUUGUUGAUGUAAUUUUUAGGUGGCUGGUUCGAUUCCGGCAG